UACGUAGGGGGGCUAGCGUUGUCCGGAAUCAUUGGGCGUAAAGCGCGUGUAGGCGCCCGGUAAGUCCGCUGUGAAAGUCCGGGGCUCAACCCUGGAAAGCCGGUGGAUACUGUCCGGGCUAGAGUCGGAGACGGCAGAGGUGGAAUUCGAUUCGUGGUGCAGGUCGGGUGAAAUGCGCAGAUAUCAGGAGGAACACCAAUUGCGAAGGCAGCUCGCUGGGACGUUACUGACGCUGAGACGCGAAAGCGUGGGGAGCAAACAGG
rnacentral:rRNA from 1 species